rnacentral:hammerhead_ribozyme from 1 species
CUGCGAAACACCGUAAUGGUGUCUGCAUGAUGUGGUGAUCAUGUACUGAUGAGCAGCCAACU